ensembl:lncRNA
AAAGAAAGAGGACGCCUGGGUGCAGCUAACGCUGAUUUCAAUGUUUCUGCAGGGAUUAACGACAAGCGCGAUGUAAAUAGUCUGAAAGCUGCUGGAAAAACCUCAAAGCAAAAGCGAAAAAAAGAUGGAGCACCUGAGAGAAGGGACACAUUUCUCACUGGUGGUGUCCCCCCUACUGGAGAAAUAGUUUCAUUGUCACAAAAAAAUUAUCCAGACGAUUCUGCAACAGAUAACCCCAUCUCACAACCCAUUACCCUGCAGACCAGCUGCAGUCACCGACAUCGUCCCACAAAAAUGCGAAUGAUGACGCUGAAAGGACCGGUUCCUGCACGCCUGCCGCGCCUCAUAAACGCGUCAGCGGUGGAGCAGCUCAGAGCCCGCGAAGAACAAAAGACAAAACAGUGAGUUUGUGAUCCUUAAGAAUGUUUAAGAAAGUUCAAAUUAAAUGUGUAGUACUGUGUUUGGUGAAAUGUGUGGGAUCAAAUGUUUAAACGGUAUAAAGUUACAAUUAAUGAAAUGUUUACUGUUGGGAAAAGAUUGUUUUGUGAUUUUUGAUGUUCAAAUCUUGUGAAAAUAUAGAAUGUAGUAGAAAAUUUACUUAAAAUGAGAUCUAGUGCUAUUUUUUUUAAUAAAGUGAAAUUACUUUAUAAAGUUUUAUUACA